rnacentral:rRNA from 1 species
ACUCCUGCGGGAGGCAGCAGUGGGGAAUUUUGGACAAUGGGCGAAAGCCUGAUCCAGCAAUGCCGCGUGAGUGAAGAAGGCCUUCGGGUUGUAAAGCUCUUUUGUCAGGGAAGAAACGGUGAGAGCUAAUAUCUUUUGCUAAUGACGGUACCUGAAGAAUAAGCACCGGCUAACUACGUGCCAGCAGCCGCGGUAAUACGUAGGGUGCAAGCGUUAAUCGGAAUUCCUGGGCGUAAAGCGUGCGCAGGCGGUUUUGUAAGUCUGAUGUGAAAUCCCCGGGCUCAACCUGGGAAUUGCAUUGGAGACUGCAAGGCUAGAAUCUGGCAGAGGGGGGUAGAAUUCCACGUGUAGCAGUGAAAUGCGUAGAUAUGUGGAGGAACACCGAUGGCGAAGGCAGCCCCCUGGGUCAAGAUUGACGCUCAUGCACGAAAGCGUGGGGAGCAAACAGGAUUAGAAACCCUGGUAGUCC